rnacentral:rRNA from 1 species
UGCGUCCCAUUAGCUAGUUGGUAGGGUAACGGCCUACCAAUGCAACGAUGGGUAGCUGGUGUGAGAGCACGACCAGCCACACAGGCACUGAAACACGGGCCCGACUCCUACGGGAGGCACCAGUGAGGAAUAUUGGUCAAUGGACGCAAGUCUGAACCAGCCAUGCCGCGUGAAGGAUGAAGGCCUUCUGGGUUGUAAACUUCUUUUAUCUGGGAAGAAAACCACGGAUUCUACUGUGGCCGACGGUACCAGAGGAAUAAGCACCGGCUAACUCCGUGCCACCAGCCGCGGUAAUACGGAGGGUGCAAGCGUUAUCCGGAUUCACUGGGUGUACAGGGUGUGUAGGCGGGCAGUUAACUCAGUGGUGAAAUCUCCGGGCUCAUCCNGUAAACUGCCAUU